GACAGAGGGUGCAAACGUUGUUCGGAAUUACUGGGCGUAAAGCGCGUGUAGGCGGCCAUCUAAGUCGGGCGUGAAAUCCCACGGCUCAACCGUGGAAGUGCACUCGAAACUGGAUGGCUAGAGUCCUGGAGAGGAAGGUGGAAUGCUUGGUGUAGAGGUGAAAUUCGUAGAUAUCAAGCGGAACACCGGUGGCGAAGGCGGCCUUCUGGACAGUGACUGA
rnacentral:rRNA from 1 species